AAACAGAAACAGGGGUGCCGCGCCGUUUUCGGGCGCAGCUGAGAGUUACCCUUACACCCGAUCAGGAUAAUGCCUGCGUGGGAAGUUUCGGCCUAUUGUAU
rnacentral:ncRNA from 1 species